UAUUGCAGCCCAAGACUGGUUGCCCACUGAAGCUAAGCAGGGUUGAGCCUGGUCAGUGCCUGGAUGGGAGACCUCCUGGGAAAACUAGGUUGCUGCUGGAA
rnacentral:rRNA from 1 species